UUCAGAUGACGGUAAAAAUGAAGUGUGCUCUGCCGAUCACCCCACUAUUUCCUUAUUUCCUAUGAAGAGAAGUCUGUUUUUAUCUUAUUAGGUCCUGGAAUUGUCGUUUCCCGGUUCGAUGUUUUCAUCUGAACCUGUUUCGGAGGGAUCCUUCAUGAAGAAGAUUGAAUUUCUUUCCGACAUCAAUCUGGGCCGUUGCGGAUAACUUUGAAUUCAUGAAGCCACAUAACACUCAAUAACACUAACCUUUAUAAAACAUGGCACAUAAAUUUUUGAG